rnacentral:misc_RNA from 1 species
UACAGAGGCCCCAAGCAUUAUCCGGAAUCACUGGGCGUAAAGGGUGUGCAGGCGGCCGUGUUAGUCUCUUGUGAAAGCUCUUCGGCUCAACCGAGGAAACGCAGGGGAAACGGCACGGCUCCAGAGGACGCGAGAGGUACAGGGAACUCAUGGUGUAGGGGUGAAAUCCGUUGAUAUCAUGGGGAACACCAAAUGCGAAGGCACUGUACUGGCGCGCUCCUGACGCUCAUACACGAAAGCGUGGGAAUCGAACGGG